CGUCUUCAGGGCGGGGCGUAAUUCCCGACCGGCGGUAGAGUCCGCGACGGGCCGAAAUGGCUUGUGAUUCGGCGAAAUUCCGAAACCGACAGUAUAGUCUGGAUGGAAGAAGACG
rnacentral:ncRNA from 1 species